ensembl:lncRNA
GUUGGGAAGUAACGGUAUGCUAAAUAAUUAGUAAUAAGUAGAUCAUAAUUAGUAGAUCAACAUCUGGUUUGGCUUAAAAGUGCGCCGCUCUGGGGUCUGUCCAUCAUGGUCUAUGCGCAGCUCUACUGCGCAGCCUCCAGACCGGAAGCUAUUCAGACGGGAAGCCCUGCACGUCCUUUCCCUUCCCUCUCGGCGCGGUGUAGACAGCGUGGCCCGUCCAGCUCCCAGAGAUGAGCAGCUUUCUCCGGGGCUCUAGUCCCUCUGAGGCUCCGUCGCGACCCGCAGCGCCAGAACCUCCAAACCCCAAUGUGACCUCAACCACACUGAGAUGAGGUGUUGAUCAGAAUGAAGACCUAAUCCUUCCAGUGCCAUGCUGAGGUGAUUGGUUGAUUUGAGUCGUGAUCUACCGUAGCUCUAUUGGCUCAAUACUGGAUAAGUGAUGAUUUAGCAUUUUACCGUUUACCCAUCAGACAAUAAGAUGCUCUUGGGCGGUGCAGACCAGAUGCUUCUUGGCCAGGAUGGACCUACAGUGGUCUACUCAGCGGAACUGGAGAUCACAUUCCUGAGCUUCCUGAUCAAGGUGUAGAAUCCUGUUCCAAGCUGGAAAUCGCGACGAGUCCAGUGAUGUCCCGGUGGGAGACUCUUCUGCUGUUCUGAGUGGAUCCUGUGAAGGCCAGAUGGGUGUGGUGACGAGGAACCAAUGCAGAGCUGCAGAUCCGGUGGAGUCCAGAGACGUCCCGCUGUGAGACGGUUCUACUGAACUGAGUUUCCUGAACUCGGCGUCGGUUGGAGUCCGCCUACAUGAAGAGAUUUGGAUCACCCACACUGCGAAACCUUUUGUCUGUAACAAAUGACCGUGUUCCACCAAUAAACCCAAAACAUCCACCACUGUGUACUUUACACCUCUGUUCUCGAGAAUAAAACCCAAAGGAGUGGGGGGGGUCACACGCCGCCUGUGAUUAAUCACCACGGUUACCUGGGGGGGCGCCCCACAUACCGUCCCGCCGCUGCCCGGGGGUCGGAGGUCACUCCUCGGCGAUGUAGGCGGCGGCCCCUGGGGCGUAGGCGUAGAUGAAGCGCAGGACGGCCUGACGGAGGUCCUCCAGCAGCAGGUCUCGUUGGAGCAGGGCCCCCACCCCCCCGCCCAGGUCACAGGGGAACGCCGGGUCGGGGGGGGUAACGAGCACCGAGGCCCCUGGGGAGAGAGGAGACGCGCAGAGCUUACAGAGGAGCCAAGGGCCCCUGACCCACAGUUCUGAGUUAACGUUGUCUGAUGUAAUGCUACAUGACGGGAUAAUACAUAUUCGUCUUUAAUUUAGAUGUCGAUUUACCGAACGUUAACUCAAGUCAAUGUACGUAGAUUGACUGUGGCCCCUAACCCACAUGGAGCCCGUUAUGUAGCGUUAACUUCGUCAGAACAGCUAUAUAGAACAUGAUGUAAUGCUACACGGCCAUUUCGCUAACACGAAGGGU